CUUCAUAUAAGGCGUGUGAUCUUCUGGGUGUAAAGCCAGUGGAUGAUGUUCAUGUUGGUGAGAUCGUAGAAACGAUGUAUGGGGCGCAAGGGUUACAUGCUUCAUGUUAUUUAGCGUGUGACAAGGAUGAUAUGCGGCAACUCCAGAUUUGCAAAUAGAGAGAGUGCUAGAAUCUGCAAAUUUAGAUGUUUUAAUGCAAUAUGUGGCUUAUUUGCCUUUCUAUUUAAUUUAUUAUUUAUUUUAGCAGCCAAUAAUGGUCAAUAUGUCAAUAUUGAAACAAACGUUGUAAGUUAUGUAGCACGUUCUCAUACAUUGUAACAUACACCAUAUAUAAAUAUAUGAUUUCACUUUUUAAAA